rnacentral:lncRNA from 1 species
UAGACUUUAGGCUAAAUGGGGGCACCUUUCCUCAGAUCCAGAAUGUCCUUGAAACCUCUCACUCUGGGGUGAUCCUAAACUACCAGAAGAGAGCCAUUGCUGAGACUUGGUGGCAAUCUGAAUACCAUUUUAAGCUUCAAUUUGGAACACCCUCACCUAAUCUUAUUGCCUUGGAGUUGCAAACUGAAAAGAGGCUGACCUCACAGAUAUUUUCCCUCAAAGCUCAAAGCCAGAAGAGCUCCUGGAAGCUGGAUGAAUCAGGAAAGAAGAAUUCCUCUCUCACUCUCACCAAUUCCACUCCAACUCUUAGGCAGAUAUAGGACAUUGGUCUCCACAAAUGAGAUAAUCCAGCUCGAGGAAUGAUAGCCAGCAUUAGAAACAAAAAAAUUUCAAGAACAGAACAUCUUUUAUUAAGAAAUGC